GGCUACGGCCACAUCAACCUGAAUCUGCCCGAUUUCUUCAGGUCUCGGAAGCUAAGCAGUCUGGAGCCUGGACAGUGAUUGGAUUGGGCGACCGCUGAGCUU
rnacentral:rRNA from 1 species